rnacentral:lncRNA from 1 species
GCGAAGGCUGGAUCAGGCUUGACGACGCGGGAGGAAAGAGUGGGACAGCCCGUGACCCAUAGAGCCAGAGAAGCAGGAGUGCGUGAGUGGCAGUGGAGGAGAAACACAGAGAAAGGGGCAGCCUGGCAAAAUAGGAGGGCAGCCACAGCAUGUGUGGAAGAGCAGAAGAAUGCUGAAUGUACAGAUCUGAGCUGCAGCUUCCUUGGAUUUCCAAGCCAAACCUGCAGUGAUAUCCCAGCUGGGAAAGGAAAAUAG